rnacentral:piRNA from 1 species
UUUGAGCUUGCUUGAAUGC